rnacentral:misc_RNA from 1 species
GAUGAAGAACGUAGCGAAAUGCGAUAAGUAAUGCGAAUUGCAGAAUUCAGUGAAUCAUCGAAUCUUUGAACGCACCUUGCGCUCCUUGGUAUUCCGAGGAGCAUGCCUGUUUGAGUGUCAUUAAUAUAUCAACCUUCUCUUUUUUGAGUUGUUUGGAUGUGGGGGUUUGCUGGCCUCUUAAAUGAUUCAGCUCCCCUGAAAUGCAUUAGCAGAACAACCUGUUCAUUAGCGUGAUAAUUAUCUAUGCUAUUGAAUGUGAGGGCAGUUCAGCUUUCUAACCGUCCUUGGACAAUUCAUCAUUAAUGUGACCUCAAAUCAGGUAGGACUACCCGCUGAACUUAAGCAUAUCAAUAAGCGGAGGA